ACCAGCGGAAGAACCCUAGAAUCCCUCAUUCUUCAAAUUACAUGAUGAGGGAGAAGUCUCAGGACACGAUGCCUCGGAGUUCCGACUCAAGGAUACCUUCAACAUUGGGAUUUCGAGAAAACCAAAAGCCUUCGCAUAGAUUGAAGAAGCGAAGAGUAGGCUUGAAUUUGCAGUUUCGCAGUGAUGAUGGUUGAUGUGCGUUGAAGAUUUUUGACGAUGGAGAACGAACUGCAGGUUGUUGAUGAUGAUUCGGUGAUGAGAAAUUGAAGAUGAAGGUUAUGGAUUGAAGGAGGAGAGUUGAGAAUGAAGAAGAGAUGAAGUGGAAGAGAAGGUUGAAGAAGGGAGCAAGAUGAAUGUGAUGUUGAAGAAUGAAUAGAGAGGAGAGUGAGAAAUGGUGGAGGUUUUCUUUUAUAGGAGUGAAGAGAAGAUGGUGAUGAAGUGAAGAUGGUGAUGAAAUGAAGAUGGUGAUGAAGUGAAGAGAGGAACCUGAAGAAAUGAAGCCAAGUUCUGAUUUAUAGAACAAAUUCGCAGGUUAUACUAUUUGUAGGAAUGCGAUGCCGAAUCGCCGUAUUCACAUUGUCAUAAUGAGUUGAACUGGAAUUGGAUUGAAGUUGACGCAGGUUUCUGAUUUGAAUGAUACAAAUGUGAUGGUUAGGACAUCCUGGAUGCAUAUGGUGCCUUGGUUUCGGACUUGAAGCGAAGAGUUGCAAGACGUGAUCAAGGGAGGUCAACAUACGGCAAGGCUGGGAGCUUAGAGCCAACUGACGAGACACUGCUUCAAGGCUAACAGAAUAGAGUUUUUAAGUAGCUUUCUUAACUUAAAAAAAGGGAAUGGUGGUUUCUCUGUUGGGUAGGAAUUUGUAAUGGUGGGAUGAUUUUGGAUAAAUGAGAGGUGUUUGAUAUA